CGAACGGCUCCGUAUAUCUGUUACAACUCGUCGCGCCCUAAGAAAGGUUGGUAAGCGCAUAUGGUUCGGUAAUUCUGUCAGUAAUACGUGUACCCGCAAGGCGCCCUGGCAUACGGUUUUUCCCUUAGAGAUCUAUGCAGCUAACAGGGCGGACUCUAGAACUACCAGCGACUCCGGUCGUUUGGGAAAAAGCUAGAGUGUUCCUCACCAGGCACGGGGAGAGCCGGGAAAUUUCAGACCUAUCAACUAGAGAACCAUGCAGUGUACGGUUUUGGUGGUAACGGGUACAGAGGAUCAGGGUUCGAUCCUGGAGAGGUAGCCUGAGAGAUCGCUACUACUUCUAAGGAAGGCAGCAGGCGCGCAACGUUCCCAAUGGGGGGGUUAAAGGUUCCCUGAGGACGUGACGGAAUAUAUCGAUGCUCCGGCCUUUAGGUCGUGGGCAAUUGAAAUGGGGGGAUUUUAAAUCCUACUACCGAGUAACGAUUGGAGGACAAGUCUG
rnacentral:rRNA from 1 species